AGAGUCAACGCUGGCGGCGUGCCUAACACAUGCAAGUCGAACGAGAAAGGGACUUCGGUCCUGAGUACAGUGGCGCACGGGUGAGUAACACGUGACUAACCUACCCUGGAGUGGGGAAUAACUGAGGGAAACCUUAGCUAAUACCGCAUAAUACCUACGGGUCAAAGGAGCAAUUCGCUUCAGGAGGGGGUCGCGGCCGAUUAGCUAGUUGGCGGGGUAAUGGCCCACCAAGGCAAUGAUCGGUA
rnacentral:rRNA from 1 species